rnacentral:rRNA from 1 species
GAUGAACGCUAGCUACAGGCUUAACACAUGCAAGUCGAGGGGAAACGACAUCGAAAGCUUGCUUUUGAUGGGCGUCGACCGGCGCACGGGUGAGUAACGCGUAUCCAACCUGCCCACCACUUGGGGAUAACCUUGCGAAAGUAAGACUAAUACCCAAUGAUAUCUCUAGAAGACAUCUGAAAGGGAUUAAAGAUUUAUCGGUGAUGGUUGGGGAUGCGUCUGAUUAGCUUGAUGGCGGGGUAACGGCCCAACAAGGCGACGAUCAGUAGGGGUUCUGAGAGGAAGGUCACCCACAUUGGAACUGAGACACGGUCCAAACUCCUACGGGAGGCAGCAGUGGGGAAUAUUGGUCAAUGGACGAGGGUCUGAACCAGCAAAGUAGCGUGCAGGAUGACGGCCCUAUGGGUUGUAAACUGCUUUUAUAAGGGAAUAAAGUGAGUCUCGUGAGACUUUUUGCAUGUACCUUAUGAAUAAGGACCGGCUAAUUCCGUGCCAGCCGCCGCCGUAA